AGACCUACGGGAGGCAGCAGUGGGGAAUAUUGGGCAAUGGGCGCAAGCCUGACCCAGCAACGCCGCGUGAAGGAAGAAGGCUUUCGGGUUGUAAACUUCUUUUAAGAGGGACGAAGGAAGUGACGGUACCUCUUGAAUAAGCCACGGCUAACUACGUGCCAGCAGCCGCGGUAAUACGUAGGUGGCAAGCGUUAUCCGGAUUUAUUGGGUGUAAAGGGCGUGUAGGCGGGAGCGCAAGUCAGAUGUGAAAACUCAGGGCUCAACCCUGAGCCUGCAUUUGAAACUGUGUUUCUUG
rnacentral:rRNA from 1 species